rnacentral:rRNA from 1 species
GCAUAUCAAUAAGCGGAGGAAAAGAACCACGGAUUGCCCUAGUAACGGCGAGUGAAGCGGCAAGAGCUCAAAUUUGAAAGCUGGCUCCUUCGGGGUCCGCAUUGUAAUUUGCAGAGGAUGCUUCGGGAGCGGUCCCCAUCUAAGUGCCCUGGAACGGGCCGUCAUAGAGGGUGAGAAUCCCGUAUGGGAUGGGGUGCCCGCGCCCGUGUGAAGCUCCUUCGACGAGUCGAGUUGUUUGGGAAUGCAGCUCUAAUUGGGUGGUAAAUUUCAUCUAAAGCUAAAUAUUGGCCGGAGACCGAUAGCGCACAAGUAGAGUGAUCGAAAGAUGAAAAGCACUUUGAAAAGAGAGUUAAACAGCACGUGAAAUUGUUGAAAGGGAAGCGCUUGCGAUCAGACUCGCUCGCGGGGUUCAGCCGGCCUUCGGGCCGGUGUACUUCCCCGCGGGCGGGCCAGCGUCGGUUUGGGCGGCCGGUCAAAGGCCCCUGGAAUGUAACGCCUCUCGGGGCGUCUUAUAGCCAGGGGUGCCAUGCGGCCUGCCCGGACCGAGGAACGCGCUUCGGCUCGGACGCUGGCAUAAUGGUCGUAAGCGACCCGUCUUGAAACACGGACCAAGGAGUCUAACAUCUACGCGAGUGUUCGGGUGUCAAACCCGUGCGCGCAGUGAAAGCGAACGGAGGUGGGAACCCCCCGGGGUGCACCAUCGACCGAUCCUGAUGUCUUCGGAUGGAUUUGAGUAAGAGCGUAGCUGUUGGGACCCGAAAGAUGGUGAACUAUGCCUGAAUAGGGCGAAGCCAGAGGAAACUCUGGUGGAGGCUCGCAGCGGUUCUGACGUGCAAAUCGAUCGUCAAAUUUGGGUAUAGGGGCAAAAAAAUAUCGACCAUCUAGUAGCUGUCUGCGA